ACCAUGUGUGAUUUCGCUAAGACAAAAGAGGGAGUCCUUCUGGCAAUAUUUUCGACAAGAUGUAAGGGACAAGAGAGAACUCAAGGAUCCAGUCCAGGAAACCGCAUCACAUUUGGCUGCACAUCUCUGGUCUCCUCUGGCUCAUAACGGUUUCUUCGUCUUUGUUUUUCAUGCCCGGUGCCUGGACUGGCCCCUGCCGUGCUUCCAUCACGAGAGGCUAAAUCUGAAGGCACAGAACAAACACAAAACAUGCAGGCAAAAACGUGGAAAAGGAAUUCACAAGAACUGAAAGGGGCUCUGUGAGAUCAAAGGAUCUCUGGAUAGAAACACCUAGGAAAACAAGUGAGAGAACGCAUACAAAAGUCAAGACCUGCGCAGGAAAACAAGAAAAGUAGCGCUCAAAAUAUCAAGAGAGGGGAGGAAACAAUUAUUGGGGAUGUGAAGAUGCCAAAGAAAGAAGAAAACAGGGACAUCUUGCCUGGAGAAUACACAAUUUUCAAGGAGAGAAAAGGCAUUUCUCUUUCGCUUUACCCUUUCACGCCCCUUUAAAAUAAAAACAAAAAC